rnacentral:rRNA from 1 species
GAUGCAGCCAUGCCGCGUGUAUGAAGAAGGCCCUAGGGUUGUAAAGUACUUUCAGUCGGGAGGAAGGCGUUGAUGCUAAUAUCAUCAACGAUUGACGUUACCGACAGAAGAAGCACCGGCUAACUCCGUGCCAGCAGCCGCGGUAAUACGGAGGGUGCAAGCGUUAAUCGGAAUUACUGGGCGUAAAGCGCACGCAGGCGGUUGAUUAAGUUAGAUGUGAAAUCCCCGGGCUUAACCUGGGAAUGGCAUCUAAGACUGGUCAGCUAGAGUCUUGUAGAGGGGGGUAGAAUUCCAUGUGUAGCGGUGAAAUGCGUAGAGAUGUGGAGGAAUACCGGUGGCGAAGGCGGCCCCCUGGACAAAGACUGACGCUCAGGUGCGAAAGCGUGGGGAGCAAACAGGAUUA